rnacentral:sRNA from 1 species
CUCAAGUUGAAAAUCGAUGAUGUGAGAGGACAAGGCUAUGAUAAUGGA